rnacentral:rRNA from 1 species
AGAGUUUGAUCCUGGCUCAGGACGAACGCUGGCGGCGUGCUUAAUACAUGCAAGUCGAGCGAGGUUACUGCAUCAGAUUCUUUCGGGAUGAAGAAGCUUUAACCUAGCGGCGGACGGGUGAGUAACGCGUGGGUAACCUACCCUAGAGAUCGGGAUAACAGCGGGAAACUGCUGCUAAUACCGGAUGUCUCUACGAGAAGGCAUCUUUUAGUAGAGAAAGCAAUAGCGCUCUAGGAUGGGCCCGCGUCCCAUUAGCUAGUUGGUGAGGUAACGGCUCACCAAGGCGACGAUGGGUAGCCGGCCUGAGAGGGUGGACGGCCACACUGGGACUGAGACACGGCCCAGACUCCUACGGGAGGCAGCAGUAGGGAAUAUUGCGCAAUGGAGGAAACUCUGACGCAGCGACGCCGCGUGAGCGAUGAAGGUUUUCGGAUCGUAAAGCUCUGUCCUUGGGGAAGAAGGUCUUCGGACUUGACGGUACCCAAGAAGAAAGCCCCGGCUAACUACGUGCCAGCAGCCGCGGUAAUACGUAGGGGGCAAGCGUUGUCCGGAAUUAUUGGGCGUAAAGGGUGCGUAGGCGGCCUUUUAAGUCAGAUGUGAAAGCCCGCGGCUUAACUGCGGGAUUGCAUUUGAAACUGGGAGGCUUGAGUAUCGGAGAGGGUAGUGGAAUUCCCAGUGUAGCGGUGAAAUGCGUAGAUAUUGGGAGGAACACCAGUGGCGAAGGCGACUGCCUGGACGAAAACUGACGCUGAGGCACGAAAGCUAGGGGAGCAAACAGGAUUAGAUACCCUGGUAGUCCUAGCCGUAAACGAUGGGUACUAGGUGUAGGAGGUUUCGAUACCUUCUGUGCCGCAGUUAACGCAUUAAGUACCCCGCCUGGGGAGUACGUGCGCAAGCAUGAAACUCAAAUGAAUUGACGG